CACAGUGGGAACUUUAGUCACUGAAUUGAGAAACCUAAAUGCAAUGGGAAUAAUUGGAUCCUGGGGUGGCUGAGGCCAAGUGGCAGCACUCAACACCAAUGGCAAGCAAAAGAUAGCUUCCACUGAGUGCUCCAUGCUCUCCCACAAGCCCUCCUGGAACCAGAGAACUUGGCAAGAUUAAGGAUGUUGUUAAAAAAGGCAGCCACCAUGUUGUGAUGAUCCUCAAACAGCCCUGUGGAGAGGCCAAUGCAUGAAGAGGCCAUGUGGAAAGGAACAAACUUGCCAGCCGGAUGAGUGAGCCACCUUGAAAGCAGAUUCUCCUGCCUCAGUCAAAACUUCAGAUGAUUCCUGGCCCCAAUCUCAAAGUCUUUCAGCUGAGACCUCAGAUAACGUGAAGAAACGAACCAUCUCUGCUGUGCCCUAUUUGAAUAUCUGACCCACAGAAACCAUGAAAUAAUAAAUUGUUCUUUCAAACGACUAAGUUUUGGGAUGAUUUAUUAUGCAGCAAUAGAUAAUUAAUACAGAGGAGUCAGAAAGGCAAGAGAGAAAUUAAG
rnacentral:lncRNA from 1 species